rnacentral:rRNA from 1 species
CUGCUGCCUCCCGUAGGAGUCUGGGCCGUGUCUCAGUCCCAAUGUGGCCGUCCACCCUCUCAGGCCGGCUACUGAUCGUCGCCUUGGUAGGCCGUUACCCUGCCAACCAGCUAAUCAGACGCGGGCCCAUCUCGCACCACCUGGGUUUUCAGGCAGGGGCAUGCGCCCCCGCCCGCUAUGCGGUGUUAGCACCUAUUUCUAAGUGUUAUCCCCCAGUGCGAGGCAGGUUGCCCACGCGUUACUCACCCGUCCGCCACG